AUUGAACGCUGGCGGCAUGCCUUACACAUGCAAGUCGAACGGUAACGGGCCUUCGGGUGCCGACGAGUGGCGAACGGGUGAGUAAUACAUCGGAACGUGCCCGAUCGUGGGGGAUAACGAGGCGAAAGCUUUGCUAAUACCGCAUACGAUCUACGGAUGAAAGCAGGGGACCGCAAGGCCUUGCGCGGACGGAGCGGCCGAUGGCAGAUUAGGUAGUUGGUGGGAUAAAAGCUUACCAAGCCGACGAUCUGUAGCUGGUCUGAGAGGAUGAUCAACCACACUGGGACUGAGACACGGCCCAGACUCCUACGGGAGGCAGCAGUGGGGAAUUUUGGACAAUGGGCGCAAGCCUGAUCCAGCCAUGCCGCGUGCAGGAUGAAGGCCUUCGGGUUGUAAACUGCUUUUGUACGGAACGAAAAGCCUUCUUUUAAUACAGGAGGGUCAUGACGGUACCGUAAGAAUAAGCACCGGCUAACUACGUG
rnacentral:rRNA from 1 species